rnacentral:rRNA from 1 species
UACGGAAGGGGCGAGCGUUUUUCGGAAUUAUUGGGCGUAAAGGGCGCGUAGGCGGCCCCGUAUGUCUGCGGUGAAAUCAUGCAGCUCAACUGCAUUGAGCCGUGGAAACUGUGGGGCUUGAGGCUGGGAGGGGCUGGUGGAAUUCCCUGUGUAGCGGUGAAAUGCGUAGAGAUGGGGGAGAACACUCGUGGCGAAGGCGGCCAGCUGGAACAGUUCUGACGCUGAGGCGCGAAAGCGUGGGGAGCAAACAGG